UCUAGUCUAGCUAACCGGCAUUUAUUUUACAAACAUCUGCGGCACCAUAGGUUAGGUCAGGGGUGCCCAGAAGGUAAAUCCCCAGAUGUUUCAAAACUACUACUCCCAUAAUGCUUUGCAUGCUUUUAAAAUGCUUUAGAAUGACAACGCAUCAUGGAAGCUGUAGUUUUAAAACACCUGGGGAUCUACAUUUUUGGCACCCAUGACCUAAUCU